CUUCAACCUCUCAAAUUCGAAUUCGCAAAACCUGAAUCAACAAUGGCGGAAAUCUUCGAUUCUCCAUCAACUUCAAAACCUGUAGAAGAAAACACGCAAAACCCUACGCCACAAAUUGACUCAAAAACCACGCGAAACACAAAACCUGGAGUCAAACGCCUCAUUAUCUGUUUCUCGGUGCUCCUCUCAUUCAUUCUAGGUUUUCCUCUUCUGUGGAAAUCCAUCGAAAUCUACCGCGCGCCCCUCCCUUUCGAUCGAAUCGACUCCUUCUCGUCGCAAGUCGAAUCGAAUACCCUGUCCUUCCCAUGCCGCUUUCAAGCCGUUUUCAUCGGUUUCGAUUUCAAGGCUUCGCACCGCGAGGUGGGAGCGGCGAUCACGAGGAAAAUGUCGGACCUAGGUCGCGGCGACUGCGGCGGUUGCGGAGGCAAUUACUCCGUCGACGUGGCCGUGGAAAGGGGUGAUGUUAGUGCGCUCGAUUUUGGCGCGAAGUUUCGGAGUGAUGACGAGGAUGCUGAUGAAUGGGUGAGGAGUGUAGUGAAGGAGUAUAGAGGAGGGCAUGCUUAUAGCGUUGUGGUUGUGAAUGAAGGGGGGGAAGUGAGGAGUGUUGUGGGGAAGUAUCGGCACGCGUGGAUUGUGGGAAGGGUAGAGGAGGAGGAGGCCGUGUUGCGUGUGGCUGAGAUCUUUGUGAAGGUUUUUGUUAAUGGAGGGGACGAGGAUGGUUCGAUUCGCAGUGAGUUUAUGCCUGUUGGUGCUGAUGGGAGGAUUGUUCUGUCUUUCAGUUUGCUCAAUGCAGACCCUCGAGAUUGGAUAUAUGAUUGGAAUUUUCGUGAAAUUGAUGAGACUUUCUUACAACCCGUGAUUGAGGCUUUACAACCUAUAGCCAACAUCAGUGUUGAAAGCCAGGUUUUAUACCAUACACCAAAGUCUUCAUUUUCUUACUGGGAUGAUAAGCAUGGCAGCCACAUAUUUACAGCCAAGGAUCUUCCUUUCUUUGUGAAUUCAAAUGAGUGGCACUUAGAUACUUCUGUUGCAGCAGGAGGAAGGUCAAAAGUAUUGCAACUUGUAGUGUAUAUACCAUCUGCAAAGGAGUGUCCUCUUCAACUGAAGCUUCCAAACGGAGAUAUCUCUAAAACUAAUGGCUUUAUAUCUCCGAUGUGGGGAGGUGUUGUUGUCUGGAAUCCCCAAAGCUGUAUAAAAGAUUUAGAAAGUAAGGAUCCAGUUAGAAAUACAAUUUCUCGUCAGGAUCUCCAGACGCUUUUUGAAGUUCUCAUGGGGCAGCUGCGGCAACUCCUUGGUCUGAAGUCUGAUAACCUUUAUGUUGGUGAGUCAGGCACAUCCAUUCUCCUAGGCAGUGAAAGGGGUUUCACAGAAUGGGAGUUGGAUGUUUUAUCUCGGAAGCAUAUAUGCUUUAAUCUUCUUUCAUGUGCUACAACACUUGGAUCGCUUUCUAGAUUGGUACAGUCAUUGCCAAGGAUGAUUAUCAUGGAUGAGAUUGGAAAACAGGUAAAGUUUUCUCUUGAGGCAGCAAAAUUUGCUCAAAGUAAUGCAUCUAUUGGAAUAUAUGAUGCUUCAGCUGUAUCAUCAAGGCAAUCAAGAUCUCUGGCCGAGGAUGCCUUCUUUCAUCCUUCAAUUAUGUCUAUAAGCUACUAUUCAUUUGAGCAUUGUUUUGCCAUCUAUUCGGUUUGUCCUUGAACUCUCCUCUCUGCCCUAUAGUCCGGCUUCUGUGAAUUGAUAGAACUUGACCUGUGGAUGAUUGCUUUAUAUUGGUGGUCGUCUUUACCUUUUGGCACGCAUCAUUAGGGAAUCCAUUUUUCCUGCCAGUUAUUAUGCAUGUCCUCCUAGGUGCUUUACGAGAAUGGAAGAGGUACAAGCAAGAAAAUAGAAAGUAUUUAGCAGCGAAGGCCAAAGAAAAAGUUUCAUAAUCCUCUUGACCAUAGAUUAACAAGAUGAAGGAAGUUUCCUGGUGGUUGGGGCCUAGCAUGUGGUAAAGCACCUCAGUAAAGCCUCCGUCCUCUCUUCCCAAGAUCUGCUGAAUGUGUGAAUUUUGCUGAUAAUGACAAUAUUGACAUGACACUUACCGGACAUUUCACAUUAUUGGAGCAAGGUAAUGUUGGCACGGUGGCUUUUGAUUCUACCAUAGUUGAGUAGAUUGAGGAGAAAAAAGCAUUUUACUAAAAAUCAUACUUUAGCUAUUGAAAAGUUUCAUUACUAUGUGAAAUCUAUCAAAUCGAGUAUCUUUAUUCUACUGUGCACUUCAUAUUGUGAAUGAAAAACGACACCUUUGACUAGAUUUUGUUGAAUUGUGCUUAUUAUUUGUGAUUUCUUAAUGAAAUAAUUGAUAUUUGCAUCCAUUGUAAUCUUA